rnacentral:rRNA from 1 species
AUUGAACGCUGGCGGCAGGCCUAACACAUGCAAGUCGAACGAGUGGCGGACGGGUGUGUAAUGUCUGGGAAACUGCCUGAUGGAGGGGGAUAACUACUGGAAACGGUAGCUACUACCGCAUACCAUCAGAUGUGCCCAGAUGGGAUUAGCUUGUUGGUGGGGUAACGGCUCACCAAGGCGACGAUCCCUAGCUGGUUUGAGAGGAUGACAAGCCACACUGGAACUGAGACAUGGUCCAUACUACUACGGGAGGCAGCAGUGGGGAAUAUUGCACAAUGGGGGCAGGGCUAGUUCAGCCUUGCAGAGAGUGUGUAGAAGGCCGUCGGAUUGUAAAAUAAAUUCAGCGUGGAGGCGUUACCCGCAGAGGAAUCACCGGCUGACUCCGUACCAGCCGCCGCGGUAAUAC